GGACUUUAAAAUCUUUAAGGAGGUUUGAUGCUCUGUAUGAUGAAAAAACAUAAUCAAGUUAUCCAUAUAUAUAUACCUUAUAUCCACGAGCAUCUCUGUCUGGAUUGAGGAUGACGUUGAGAUCACUUGGAAUGAGGGCUUCAUUUCCCAGUGAGGGGGAGUAUUUUCCUACUAUAUUAGAAAACCAAUUUUUUGAAUUUGAAUGAAUACCAUAGAUUGGAUACAAUGUUGCUCUUUUUUAAGGAUGUCUAUGUCUACCACAAUAUAAUUCCCAUCCGGAUCUGAAGCCACAAGCUGCGGAUUGAGAGAACUCUUUAUAACAACAAUCACUCUCUGGACGGGUGUGAAGUAUGCCUAACUGCUUUAGCGAGAAAUAACACAUGGGAUUUAGGGAUUACACAUAAUCGUACAUAAUUGGUGUCUUGUAGUGUAGUAUCUACUAGGAUUAUGAUGUCUGUGAAAGAAAUUACACUGAAAUAGUUAAAAACUUCUUUUCCCCUUACCGUCGAUGAAAUCUAAUUGACAUCAUAUGUUAUUAACGAAGACAUUUUAGCUUUGUGAUUGGAGUUAGAUUUUUAACUCCAAUGACUUUUGAUAUGUAGGAAGCCGAUUGUAUGUAAAUGACUAACUACCUUCGUGGCCCGUUGUCCAUUAGAAAUAGAAUUGACAUUGAAUGGAAAUAGAGGAGGCAUCGGGCUCUAAAGUUUACGAUUUUAUUAAUUUUAUUUUCAUGUAGGAGGUCUAUUUUUAUUCCUUGGGAGGGAAUGUCACCACCCGGCUGGACUUACGCGAUUUGGAUUCAUGAGAACUUGAACAACAGUACUUUUUUCACGCUUUUCGUCUAAAACUACCACCGUAUCCACUUGCUUACAUUCAUCCAUACUUAGUUGUUCGAAUUGUUCGUGCCAUUACUUUUGAGGAGGCAGGAAACCUCUGUCUUUUAUAUUUUGUAUCUUCUUUUCUAGAUUAUAUUAGUAUUUUCUUUGACAUUCACUCAUUAGAACCUUUAUUAUUAUGGAUGUUAAGAAGAGGACCAUCUCCUAAAAAUUCUUCAUUCGACUUCUCCAACAGACUGGCGUUGCUUUUCAUGGUGUUCAGUGCAAGAUUUUUGAAUAUCUUAAUACGAUGCCGUCUUUGACCCACCUUUUAAGGAUGUAUCCCUCUUAACUUCAACACACAGUUUGUCUACGCCUCCUAACUUACGCUUUUCAUGUACCGCUUGAGCAUAUGUUUUUGCCGCUCCAUCAACCUUCCCCCUCGGUACUAAGAGGACCUGAACCUGAAACAGUUGGAACACUGUUUUCUCAUCCUCUCAAAAUUCAAUCUGACUAUUUGCCCCUUUACUGGAAGGAGCAAAGGGAUUUUUAAGGGGUCACCCGACACUUGAAAUGCGACGGUUUCUUUCUGAUGAUAAUUGAGAAUAUAAAUAUGGGAUCUCAUAUUUUGCCCAUAAACAACUUGAUAUGAUGACUAUCCACACUGACGAGGGGUAUUACGGUAUUCGAGCAAACCAUUACGAAAUUCAUCAGAGUUGAUUUUUUGAGCGUUGCACUUAUCAAGUAAACUCUUUAUAUUUUUCACAGGUGGUUCUGCUAUACAAUUGCUUUGAGGAUAAUAUGGGCUCGAGGUUGAUGAAACAAUUCCUUUUUUAUGUAAAAAUUAACUGCUUUGAUCCAAUCUUAUAUUCUUAGGGUAUUCAAAUCUCUGAACCACCCAGAAGGCGUUUAAAUAACUUGAUCAACAAUAAGAUCCUUUUUAUACUCCUCCACGAAUGCGUAACCAGAUAGAGCAUCGAUUUAUAUAAAUAAAACUUAUCAUAUAAUAGAAAUAAAUCUGUAGACAUGGA
rnacentral:lncRNA from 1 species